GGACCUGACUGCUAUCGGAUUGAUACUAAGCCAUGCGAGUCAUUGUAGCAAUACAAGGCAUACGGCUCAGUAACGCGUAGUCAACCUAACCUAUGGACGGGAAUAACCUCGGGAAACUGAGAAUAAUGCCCGAUAGAACAUUAUGCCUGGAAUGGUUUAUGUUCCAAAUGAUUUAUCGCCGUAGGAUGGGACUGCGGCCUAUCAGUUUGUUGGUGAGGUAAUGGCCCACCAAGACUAUUACAGGUACGGGCCCUGAGAGGAGUAGCCCGGAGAUGGGUACUGAGACACGGACCCAGGCCCUAUGGGGCGCAGCAGGCGAGAAAACUUUGCAAUGUGCGAAAGCACGACAAGGUUAAUCCGAGUGGUUUCUGCUAAAGAAACCUUUUGUCAGUCCUAGAAACACUGAUGAAUAAGGGGUGGGCGAGUUCUGGUGU
rnacentral:rRNA from 1 species